UACGGAGGGUGCAAACGUUGCUCGGAAUCAUUGGGCGUAAAGCGCACGUAGGCGGUCCGUUAAGUCGGGAGUGAAAGCCCCAGGCUCAACUUGGGAAGUGCUUUCGAAACUGGCGGACUUGAAUACUGAAGAGGAUCGCGGAAUUCCCGGUGUAGAGGUGAAAUUCGUAGAUAUCGGGAGGAACACCAGUGGCGAAGGCGGCGAUCUGGGUCGAUACUGACGCUGAGGUGCGAAAGCGUGGGGAGCAAACAGG
rnacentral:rRNA from 1 species